UACGGGGGGAGCAAGCGUUGUUCGGAUUUACUGGGCGUAAAGGGCGGGUAGGCGGCCACCGCAAGUCGACUGUGAAAUCUCCGGGCUUAACCCGGAAAGGUCAGCCGAUACUGCGGGGCUAGAGUGCAGAAGGGGCAACUGGAAUUCUCGGUGUAGCGGUGAAAUGCGCAGAUAUCGAGAGGAACACCUGCGGCGAAGGCGGGUUGCUGGGCUGACACUGACGCUGAACUGCGAAAGCUAGGGGAGCGAACGGG
rnacentral:rRNA from 1 species